CCCUCGCGCCCGGCGCCUGCUGAGACUCUCUUGGGGGUCUUGCGUGACAGCUGACCUCUCCUCCUCCUCCUGCAGGGCGGAGGGAGACCGGGGCACUGUCGCCGGCGCAGCGAGAUUGGGAUUGUAGUUUGGACGAGUUAUAGUGACCGGGGUAAUGGCGAAGACGAGAUGGAAACUGGGGAAGAUAGGUCGACUAAUCAAAGUGACACGAAGGUGCCCUUGUGCUCCAGCCGCAAUAGUUAUAAAGGCGAUGUGUCUUGUUAGGAAGCUUUCUCCCAGGGCCGCGGAUCCAGUCAUCUUUACGUCUGUAUCUCUGGCGGGAUUCCACCUGCCAUCCCAGCCCAUACAAUCUUCCCUGGAGCACACGUGCCUGUCACAGAACUCUGGUUUGCUCACUUAUUUGAAAUAGCUUCUUUAAACCCUCCUCCCUCGUUCCAAGAGUAUAUUUUAAUUCAACUCUUUUAUCUGUAAUAACUUUGUCACAUCAUUUGUUUUUCUCCUUCAUGAACUCUUGAUCAGGUCUCAAAAGAUGGAAAUUACAUUUCGAGGUGUUUGGAAUUCACAUUGUUUUCAAGAAGAAAAGAGAAGCAUGAAUAAACAAAUGUUCCACCCUAUAUAUGGUUCUUCAUUUCAGCUUUGAACACCCUUGUGUCCAAAAAACAAUUAUAGAUGGUCAUUUGGCUUUUACGUACCUCGGAAUGCUCAACGUAACAGCACUUUGCAUGAAGGUGCCAACAAGGACUGAUUAAAAUAGGAUGGCCGCAUCUGAAACUUCAGGGCCAUGCCCUCUCUCUCGAUUCGUGUUGGUCCUCACUAGGGAAAUGCUGCAACAAGUUAGAAAUGGUAGUGUCAUCGAAUAGAUCAAGUAGAUAUUGCUGUGGGCAGUUUUCUGAUCCCACAACUUCAAAAGAGGAAUCUCUUGGCUCUAAGUAAUCUUGACUCUCAGAACAACGACAACAAAAGUAUUCUCCUCCUAUAACAUCAUUUUUUCUGUGAUACCUUGGAGGAUUACAGGCUCCCAAUUUGAAUAAACUAUUGGAAUUAAAACAUA